UGGCCGCUAGACCGCGAGCUCGUAAGCAGGCAUACACUAUGGAACUGGAAGCCGAAGUGGCUAAACUGAAAGAACAGAAUCAAGAAUUGAAAAGAAAGGCUGAGAUGAUGGAAAAGCAACAGAAUCAGGCAAAGCAAUGUUUAUAGAACAAAGAAUGGUCCAACCUCUUCGAUAUCGUCGCCGAUGAU